AUUGAACGCUGGCGGCAUGCCUUACACACGCAAGUCGAACGGUAACAGGUCUUCGGAUGCUGACGAGUGGCGAACGGGUGAGUAAUACAUCGGAACGUGCCUAGUAGUGGGGGAUAACUACUCGAAAGAGUGGCUAAUACCGCAUGAGAUCUACGGAUGAAAGCAGGGGAUCGCAAGACCUUGCGCUACUAGAGCGGCCGAUGGCAGAUUAGGUAGUUGGUGGGAUAAAAGCUUACCAAGCCGACGAUCCGUAGCUGGUCUGUGAGGACGAUCAGCCACACUGGGACUGAGAAACGGCCCAGACUCCUACGGGAGGCAGCAGUGGGGAAUUUUGGACAAUGGGCGCAAGCCUGAUCCAGCAAUGCCGCGUGCAGGAUGAAGGCCUUCGGGUUGUAAACUGCUUUUGUACGGAACGAAAAGCCCCGGGUUAAUACCCUGGGGUCAUGACGGUACCGUAAGAAUAAGCACCGGCUAACUACGUGCCAGCCGCCGCAGUAA
rnacentral:rRNA from 1 species